GUUCCCAUACCGAACACGGAAGUUAAGCUUCUCAGCGCCGAUGGUAGUUAGGGGCUGUCCCCUUGUGAGAGUAGGACGUUGCCGGGC
rnacentral:rRNA from 1 species